GAUGAAGAACGCAGUGAAAUGCGAUACGUAAUGUGAAUUGCAGAAUUCAGUGAAUCAUCGAAUCUUUGAACGCACAUUGCGCCUGCCAGCACUCUGGCAGGCAUGCCUGUUCGAGCGUCAUUUCAACCAUCAAGCCCUAGGCUUGCGUUGGAGCCCUGCGGCUGCCGCAGGCCCCUAAAAGCAGUGGCGGGCUCGCUAUCACACCGAGUGCAGUAGAUUACUCUUCGCUCAGGGCGUGUGGCGGGUUCCAGCCGUGAAACCCCCUACUUCUCAAGGUUGACCUCGGAUCAGGUAGGAAUACCCGCUGAACUUAAGCAUAUCAAUAGCGGAGGA
rnacentral:misc_RNA from 1 species